rnacentral:rRNA from 1 species
GAGUUUGAUCCUGGCUCAGGAUGAACGCUGGCGGCGUGCUUAACACAUGCAAGUCGAACGAAGCGCUUAAGAAUGAUUCUUCGGAUGAAGUCUUUUGUGACUUAGUGGCGGACGGGUGAGUAACGCGUGGGUAACCUGCCUCACACAGGGGGAUAACAGUUGGAAACGACCGCUAAUACCGCAUAACCCGCUGGUAUCGCAUGAUACUGACGGAAAAGAUUUAUCGGUGUGAGAUGGACCCGCGUCUGAUUAGCCAGUUGGCAGGGUAACGGCCUACCAAAGCGACGAUCAGUAGCCGGCCUGAGAGGGUGAACGGCCACAUUGGGACUGAGACACGGCCCAAACUCCUACGGGAGGCAGCAGUGGGGAAUAUUGCACAAUGGGGGAAACCCUGAUGCAGCGACGCCGCGUGAGUGAAGAAGUAUUUCGGCAUGUAAAGCUCUAUCAGCAGGGAAGAAAAUGACGGUACCUGACCAAGAAGCCCCGGCUAACUACGUGCCAGCAGCCGCGGUAAUACGUAGGGGGCAAGCGUUAUCCGGAUUUACUGGGUGUAAAGGGAGCGUAGACGGUGAUGCAAGUCAGAAGUGAAAGCCCGGGGCUCAACUCCGGGACUGCUUUUUGAACUGUGUAACUGGAGU